rnacentral:rRNA from 2 species
AUGCAAGUCGAGCGGACAGAUGGGAGCUUGCUCCCUGAUGUUAGCGGCGGACGGGUGAGUAACACGUGGGUAACCUGCCUGUAAGACUGGGAUAACUCCGGGAAACCGGGGCUAAUACCGGAUGGUUGUUUGAACCGCAUGGUUCAGACAUAAAAGGUGGCUUCGGCUACCACUUACAGAUGGACCCGCGGCGCAUUAGCUAGUUGGUGAGGUAACGGCUCACCAAGGCGACGAUGCGUAGCCGACCUGAGAGGGUGAUCGGCCACACUGGGACUGAGACACGGCCCAGACUCCUACGGGAGGCAGCAGUAGGGAAUCUUCCGCAAUGGACGAAAGUCUGACGGAGCAACGCCGCGUGAGUGAUGAAGGUUUUCGGAUCGUAAAGCUCUGUUGUUAGGGAAGAACAAGUGCCGUUCAAAUAGGGCGGCACCUUGACGGUACCUAACCAGAAAGCCACGGCUAACUACGUGCCAGCAGCCGCGGUAAUACGUAGGUGGCAAGCGUUGUCCGGAAUUAUUGGGCGUAAAGGGCUCGCAGGCGGUUUCUUAAGUCUGAUGUGAAAGCCCCCGGCUCAACCGGGGAGGGUCAUUGGAAACUGGGGAACUUGAGUGCAGAAGAGGAGAGUGGAAUUCCACGUGUAGCGGUGAAAUGCGUAGAGAUGUGGAGGAACACCAGUGGCGAAGGCGACUCUCUGGUCUGUAACUGACGCUGAGGAGCGAAAGCGUGGGGAGCGAACAGGAUUAGAUACCCUGGUAGUCCACGCCGUAAACGAUGAGUGCUAAGUGUUAGGGGGUUUCCGCCCCUUAGUGCUGCAGCUA